AGAACAAGAGCGUAACAAUAAAGAAAUUGGUACAUGUAUUACCUAUUAUACAAUAUUUACGACUGAAGUUAAUACUGGUUUCUUCCAACCAAAAAAAAAGAUCAAUGCGAUCUGUGUAAUACCUACAACAAUUCCAAUGUUAAUGAAAAUAAAGACCUGGAGCAAAAAUAUAAAUCAAAUUUAGAAAAAAAAAAAGCUGGAGUA
rnacentral:lncRNA from 1 species